rnacentral:rRNA from 1 species
GACGAACGCUGGCGGUAUGCUUAACACAUGCAAGUCGAACGAGAAGUCUUUUAUUGAACCUUCGGGGGAUAUAAGAGACAGACAGUGGCGAACGGGUGAGUAACGCGUGGGCAACCUACCUAUCGGAGCGGGAUAGCCUCGAGAAAUCGGGAGUAAAACCGCAUAACACGGAUAUAUCGCAUGAUGAAUCCGUCAAAACUCCGGUGCCGAUAGAUGGGCCCGCGUCUGAUUAGCUAGUUGGUAAGGUAAGGGCUUACCAAGGCAACGAUCAGUAGCCGGUCUGAGAGGGCGAACGGCCACACUGGAACUGAGACACGGUCCAGACUCCUACGGGAGGCAGCAGUGGGGAAUAUUGCGCAAUGGGGGCAACCCUGACGCAGCAAUACCGCGUGAGUGAAGAAGGUUUUCGGAUCGUAAAGCUCUGUUAUUAGGGAAAGAAAGCAGUGACGGUACCCAAAUGAGGA